UGGAGUUGAGGAUGGAGACGGUAGAUGAU
rnacentral:sRNA from 1 species